UACAGAGGGUGCGAGCGUUGUUCGGAAUUAUUGGGCGUAAAGGGCGCGUAGGCGGCGCCACAAGUCACUUGUGAAAACUCUGGGCUCAACCCAGAGCCUGCAGGCGAAACUGUGGUGCUGGAGUAUGGGAGAGGUGCGUGGAAUUCCCGGUGUAGCGGUGAAAUGCGUAGAUAUUGGGAAGAACACCAGUGGCGAAAGCGGACUUCUGGGUUGUUACUGACGCUGAGGUACGAAAGCGUGGGGAGCAAACGGG
rnacentral:rRNA from 1 species